AACGUAGGAGACAAACGUUAUCCGGAGUUACUGGGCGUAAAGGGCGUGUAGGCGGUUUGUUAAGUCUGGCGUGAAAGCUCUCGGCUAAACCGGGAGAGGUCGUUGGAGACUGGCAGACUGGAGGAUGGUAGAGGCGUGUGGAAUUCCGGGUGUAGUGGUGAAAUGCGUAGAGAUCCGGAGGAACACCAGUGGCGAAGGCGACACGCUGGGCCAUACCUGACGCUAAAGCGCGACAGCAUGGGGAGCAAACGGGAUUAGAAACCCCAGUAGUCC
rnacentral:rRNA from 1 species